rnacentral:rRNA from 1 species
GACGAACGCUGGCGGCGUGCUUAACACAUGCAAGUCGAACGGUGAAGCGCCUUCCUUUUUGGUGGGUGUGGAUGAGUGGCGAACGGGUGAGUAACACGUGAGUAACCUGCCCCCUUCUUCUGGAUAACCGCAUGAAAGUGUGGCUAAUACGGGAUAUUCUGGGUCUGUCGCAUGAUGGGUCUGGGAAAGAUAUUGUUUCGGUGGGGGAUGGGCUCGCGGCCUAUCAGCUUGUUGGUGGGGUGAUGGCCUACCAAGGCGGUGACGGGUAGCCGGCCUGAGAGGGUGGACGGUCACACUGGGACUGAGACACGGCCCAGACUCCUACGGGAGGCAGCAGGGGGGAAUAUUGCACAAUGGGCGCAAGCCUGAUGCAGCGACGCCGCGUGAGGGAUGGAGGCCUGCGGGUUGUGAACCUCUUUCGCCAGUGAAGCAGGCCUGCCUCGUUUGUGGGUGGGUUGACGGUAGCUGGAGAAGAAGCGCCGGCUAACUACGUG